rnacentral:tRNA from 1 species
GGGCCACUAGCUCAAUUUGGCAGAGCAGCUGACUCUUAAUCAGGAGGUUCCGAGUUCGAGUCUCGGGUGGCCCACCA